rnacentral:lncRNA from 1 species
GUUUAUGUUGCGAAUAAGCAUGCUUGGGACUCCAACUUUCAGGGUAAUUCUAUGCGCAGGUAAUCCUGGAAAUUCUAGUGAGUUGAGAUAUUCAAAUGGAUAGGAUAAAUCGAACUCUCCUGAAUGUUUUUCGUCUUCUGCGAAGCUGUCACAGCUUAAGUAUCCUUGCUCAGUUCCUGGAAUCUUGGAAAGCAAGUAAGUGUUGAUUUCAUCAACUGUAUCAUUCCUAGGAGUUAAUAUAGUUGUAUCUCUGAUUUUUUCCAAAUCCUUGUAGCCAUUUUCAAAAUCUGUGAAAACAGACUGACAGAGGAUAUCAAGUGGGUUUGAAGUAACGGGGAGGAGGAGAGAAUCGUUGAUCAGAAUUUGGUCUUCAGAAGUUUCAGAAUUCAUUUCUUUC